GAUGAACGCUGGCGGCGUGCCUAAUACAUGCAAGUCGAGCGAACAGACGAGGAGCUUGCUCCUCUGACGUUAGCGGCGGACGGGUGAGUAACACGUGGAUAACCUACCUAUAAGACUGGGAUAACUUCGGGAAACCGGAGCUAAUACCGGAUAAUAUAUUGAACCGCAUGGUUCAAUAGUGAAAGACGGUUUUGUUGUCACUUAUAGAUGGAUCCGCGCCGCAUUAGCUAGUUGGUAAGGUAACGGCUUACCAAGGCGACGAUGCGUAGCCGACCUGAGAGGUUGACCGGCCACACUGGACCUGAGCAACGGCCAAGCCUCUUAGGGGAGGAAGCAGUAGGGAAUCUCCCGAAAUGGGCGAAAGCCUGACGGAGCACGGCCGCGUGAGUGAUGAAGGUCUCCGGAUCGUAAAACUUUGUUAUUAGGGAAGAACAAAUGUGUAAGUACCUAUGACCGUCUUGCCGGUACCUAACAAGAAAGCCCCGGCUACCUCCGU
rnacentral:rRNA from 1 species